rnacentral:rRNA from 1 species
GAUGAACGCUGGCGGCGUGCUUAACACAUGCAAGUCGAACGAAGCGUUCAAGACAGAAGCCUUCGGGUGGAAGAUUUAAAUGACUGAGUGGCGGACGGGUGAGUAACGCGUGGGCAACCUGCCUCAUACAAGGGGAUAACACCCAGAAAUGGGUGCUAAUACCGUAUAAGCUUACAGAAUCGCAUGAUUCAGUAAGAAAAACUCCGGUGGUAUGAGAUGGGCCCGCGUCUGAUUAGCUAGUUGGUAGGGUAAUGGCCUACCAAGGCGACGAUCAGUAGCCGACCUGGGAGGGUGACCGGCCACAUUGGGACUGAGACACGGCCCAAACUCCUACGGGAGGUAGCAGUGGGGAAUAUUGGUCAAUGGGCGAGAGCCUGAACCAGCCAAGUAGCGUGAGGGAUGACUGCCCUAUGGGUUGUAAACCUCUUUUAUAUGGGAAUAAUAGGUUCUACGUGUAGAAUUUUGCAUGUACCAUUAUGAAUAAGCAUCGGCUAACUCCGUGCCAGCAGCCGCCGUAAGAC